rnacentral:tRNA from 1 species
UCCCGGGUGGCUUAGUUGGUAAAGAAUCUGCCCACAACGCAGGAGACCCAGGUUCGAUCCAUGGGUCGGGAA